rnacentral:rRNA from 1 species
AAGAGCUCAAAGUUGGAACCUGUUUGGCUUAGCUAAACCGGAUUGUAAACUGUAGAAGCGUUUUCCAGGCGCACCAAGCAAAUAAGUCCUUUGGAACAGGGCAUCAUAGAGGGUGAGAAUCCCGUCUUUGGCUUGAGUUGUCGUCUAUUGUGAUACGUUUUCAAAGAGUCAGGUUGUUUGGGAAUGCAGCCUAAAUUGGGUGGUAAAUCUCACCUAAAGCUAAAUAUUUGCGAGAGACCGAUAGCGAACAAGUACCGUGAGGGAAAGAUGAAAAGAACUUUGAAAAGAGAGUUAAACAGUAUGUGAAAUUGUUAAAAGGGAACCGUUUGGUGCCAGACUGGCUUGAUUGUAAUCAACCUGGGCUUCGGCUCGGGUGCACUUGCAGUCUAUGCCUGCCAACAACAGUUUGGUUUGGAGGAAAAAAUUAUAAGGAAUGUGGCCCCUCGGGGUGUUAUAGCCUUAUUUCAUACUCUGGACUGGACUGAGGAUCGCAGUGAAUGCCUUUAGGCAAGAUUGCUGGGUGCUUUCGCUGAUAAAUGCUAGAAUUUCUGCUUCGGGUGGUGCUAGUGUUUAAAGGAGGAACUCGCUUGGUAUAUUUU